GCCGUUUCUUACUAUUUAUGUCCUGUUAUCCUAUUGUGCCUGUUUCCUUGCCUGACACGGUUUUCCUCUCUGCUACAGUUUUUUAAUCCAUUUUGAAUUCAGGCUGCAACACAACAAAAUGUGGAAUGAGUAAAGGGCUCAUCUACCUGGUUCUCGAUGACACUCAAUCUGACCGCUAAUGCUGCAAUGGAGAGAAACAUGCACAAACCAAACCAUCUUAAUCAAAAUAUAAUAAUACUCCCCAACCUGCUCCUCCAUGUUCCUCAGCUCCACUCUCUGUUCAACCACCACGUCUCUCAGGACUCUCAGUUCAGCCAAGAUGUCAGCAGAGGUCUGACUUUUCAUCUGUUUGUGAGUUGUCUCCUCUGCCUCCGUUCCUUGACCCCACUCCCUAUUCGCUGUAGCCCUGUGGAGUGAUGUCAGACCCCUCCACUCUCUCCCUGAGCACAUGUCCCAAACAGACAUAACAGUAAAACCAGCAGACCUACAACACCCCUCAUUCUGAAAAUAAUCCUGUUCAGAAAUGUACUCUCUAUGGCUCCAUCUGUGUCCUUAAAUUCAUAGGUGGCCAAUACAUGAGAAUCUAACACUUGUCUUCAGUGGAAUACAGUGCCUUGCAAAAGUAUUCACCCCCUUGGCGUUUUUUCUAUGUUGUUGCA